rnacentral:rRNA from 1 species
AUGGACAUAGAAGCUACACCAGUUAUGAAGGCUUGUUCCCAAAUGAUGAAGUAUGCAGUCCACCAACAUCGGUGCAGGCUAAAAUGGAAGUAUUUUGAUGCUUUCGCAGUCUAUCUGGUGACAAUAAUUUCACCUGUCAAAUCGAUGAUUGAUGACCUGUGGAAUGCCCUUGUGGAAAGCUGGAAGAAUCCCAAAAAGAUGAUUGUGAAAAGGACAAAGCUAACCGAGCUCAAGUUAAGUUCCACCAAACAACUGGUUCACGUAGCUAUCACGUGCACUGAUAAUUUGGAGUGCCACAACAACAACAAGAAGAAAGGGUACACAGACACCGUUGUAUCUAAUGUGCUCACUUCGCACACCAAGAAGCCUAGGUUUCUUCAGCAUGAGGGGAUCCACCAUGUGCAUGAGAGAUCCAGUGGUACCAACCUGGAAGCACAACUAGCAGGGAGAAGAAAGGGAGUGCAGAGCUUCGGGAGGUAG